GAUGAAGAACGUAGCGAAAUGCGAUACUUGGUGUGAAUUGCAGAAUCCCGUGAACCAUCGAGUCUUUGAACGCAAGUUGCGCCUCAAGCCAUUAGGUUGAGGGCACGUCUGCCUGGGCGUCACAUAUUGUUGCCUGAUGCCAGUUUCCUCGUGAUGGGUGACUGUGCAGGGCGAAUGAUGGCUUCCCGUGAGCAUUGUUGCCUCAUGGUUGGUUGAAAAUUGAGUCCUUGGUAGGGAGCGCCGUGAUAGAUGGUGGUUGAGUGACGAACGAGACCCAAUCAUGUGAGACCCCUACCGAAUUUGGCCUUCAUGACCCACAUGCGUCUUUGGAACGCUCAUGACGAGACCUCAGGUCAGGCGGGGCUACCCGCUGAGUUUAAGCAUAUCAAUAAGCGGAGGA
rnacentral:misc_RNA from 1 species